ensembl:snoRNA SNORA71 Small nucleolar RNA SNORA71
GCCUGCAUGCGUAAGUGAUCACGGCUGCCCAUGUCCUGGUCAUUGACAGUGCAGGCAGAGGAAAUGUGGGAAAGGUUGUCCGGUGUUUGGAGGGUCCACAUUGUCACCUUCGUGUCCCAGGAAGUUUCCUGCACU